UACGAAGGGGGCUAGCGUUGUUCGGAAUUACUGGGCGUAAAGCGCACGUAGGCGGAUUUGUGAGUCAGGGGUGAAAUCCCGGGGCUCAACCUCGGAACUGCCUUUGAUACUGCAAGGCUUGAGAACGGAAGAGGUGAGUGGAAUUCCGAGUGUAGAGGUGAAAUUCGUAGAUAUUCGGAAGAACACCAGUGGCGAAGGCGGCUCACUGGCGCAUUACUGACGCUGAGGUGCGAAAGCGUGGGGAGCAAACAGG
rnacentral:rRNA from 1 species